rnacentral:rRNA from 1 species
UACGUAUGGAGCAAGCGUUAUCCGGAUUUACUGGGUGUAAAGGGAGUGUAGGUGGCCAUGCAAGUCAGAAGUGAAAAUCCGGGGCUCAACCCCGGAACUGCUUUUGAAACUGUAAGGCUAGAGUGCAGGAGGGGUGAGCGGAAUUCCUAGUGUAGCGGUGAAAUGCGUAGAUAUUAGGAGGAACACCAGUGGCGAAGGCGGCUCACUGGACUGUAACUGACACUGAGGCUCGAAAGCGUGGGGAGCAAACAGG